rnacentral:tRNA from 2 species
GGCUUUAUAUUCAUUAGAUGAUUCUAGACUGCAAUUCUAGAGGUGUGGAAUAGACUUCUUACUAAGGCCU